rnacentral:rRNA from 1 species
GGACGUGCUCUCUCUGGUACGUCAUUAUCGUCCUGAGACAGAGCUUUACGAUCCGAAGACCUUCAUCACUCACGCGGCGUUGCUGCGUCAGGGUUUCCCCCAUUGUGCAAUAUUCCCCACUGCUGCCUCCCGUAGA